ensembl:lncRNA
CUGGCUUACAGGCCAUUCCCAGCAAUGCAGAGAGAAAAUAAUGGAAUAUUUUUAACAUGAGGAAUAAAUACACAAUGACUAAUGAUACAGUAACUUGGUUAUCUGCACAGGGUACCAGUACAAGGUCAAUGUAUGAUGUAAUUGAGGUAGAUAUAGUACCUUCUGAAAGUAUUAAAGCCUGAAUUCAAAAUGGAUGAAAUGAGGAAAUACAAAUCACCCAUCUACAAACAAUACCCCAUAAUGACAAAGUGAAAACAUGUAUUUGUAGUGACUGUAUUGAUACACCAUCCAAAGUGUAAUUAAUAAUUUCACCAUUGUCGUGCCGGAUGAAGUGAUAUGACAUGCUAUUCUAUAAAAUAAUUUUGCCGUAAUUAAUAUUACCUGAUUGAGCUAAUCAUGUAAAUGUUAUUAACUAGAGAGUCGGGCACCACAAAAUAAUAUUUAUAGAGCUGUUAUAUUCCGAAUAAACUCUUAAAGACCUAGUAAUAUUUUACAUCAAUAGCAGUCAAUAUUAAUUGUCAUCUUAAUUCAGUCUCAUCUGAAAGUUGUAAAUUCUUGGUUAUCUGCACGAACCCUGGCUAACAAGUUGAAUCAGCAAUACAAAAUUGGGUUUAAUUAUUUAUUUACUAAAUACCUGACUAAUCACACAGAAUUACACAUACACAUAUUUAAAUCAUAACUUGAUUACAAAUGACGUCAUAAAGGAAAACAGAUAUGACAGCUGGUUACACAAAAAAAAACAGUGACAAUCAAUCUCAAAUGAAUCCGUUUUAAAUUCAGCCUGUAAAACAACAAAAUGUGGAAAAGUAAAGUGGUGUGAAUACUUUCUGAAGGCCCUGUACGGACAUAUCGGUAGGUAUAAAGUGGUGUGAAUACUUUCUGAAGGCCCUGUACGGACAUAUCGGUAGGUAUAAAGUGGUGUGAAUACUUUCUGAAGGCCCUGUACGGACAUAUCGGUAGGUAUAAAGUGGUGUGAAUACUUUCUGAAGGCCCUGUACGGACAUAUCGGUA